GCCUGGGUGGCUCAGUCGGUUAAGUGUCUGACUUCAGCUCAGGUCACGAUCUCGCGGUCCGCGAGUUCGAGCCCCGCAUCAGGCU
rnacentral:tRNA from 1 species